rnacentral:rRNA from 1 species
AUUGAACGCUGGCGGCAUGCCUUACACAUGCAAGUCGAACGGUAACGGGCCUUCGGGUGCCGACGAGUGGCGAACGGGUGAGUAAUGCAUCGGAACGUACCUUUCAGUGGGGGAUAACGUAGCGAAAGUUACGCUAAUACCGCACAUUCUGUGAGCAAGAAAGCAGGGGAUCGCAAGACCUUGCGCUGAUUGAGCGGCAGAGGGCAGAUUAGCUAGUUGGUGAGGUAAAGGAUCACCAAGGCGACGAUCUGUAGCGGGUCUGAGAGGAUGAUCCGCCACACUGGAACUGAGACACGGUCCAGACUCCUACGGGAGGCAGCAGUGGGGAAUUUUGGACAAUGGGGGCAACCCUGAUCCAGCCAUGCCGCGUGAGUGAAGAAGGCCUUCGGGUUGUAAAGCUCUUUCGGCCGGGAAGAAAUCGCAUGGGCUAAUACCCUGUGUGGAUGACGGUACCGGAAUAAGAAGCACCGGCUAACCACGAACCAGCCGCCGCGGUAAUAC